ACAUUAAAAACUGAAGUCAUGAAGAAAUUUGCAAAUAAACAGGUUUCUUCUAAAACAAUCGGUAAUUCGUCAACGUCAAAACCCAAGGUCAACGAUGUAAAUGA